rnacentral:rRNA from 1 species
UACAGAGGUCCCGAGCGUUGUUCGGAUUCACUGGGCGUAAAGGGUGCGUAGGUGGUUGGGUAAGUUUGAUGUGAAAGCUCAGGGCUUAACCCUGAAAUGGCAUUGAAUACUACUCAACUGGAGGUUUGGAGGGGGGACUGGAAUUCUUGGUGUAGCAGUGAAAAUGCGUAGAUAUCAAGAGGAACACCAGUGGCGAAGGCGGCUCACUGGCCCGAAUACUGACGCUGAGGCACGAAAGCGUGGGGAGCAAACAGG